ensembl:lncRNA
GGAAAAUCUGAAAAAAUCAAGAUCUCGUCACAUAAAUAUGAUUUGAAUAAAACUAUCUUUUGGCUCAUACUAGCUUUUGGCUCAUUUUCUUUUGGUCGGGAAGUCAAUGGUGACUGGACUGAAGACCUAUCACUGGAUGAACAUCAGACUGUAGAGUCAUGAGUUAUAAAGUCAGAAAAAAAGUCACUGAGAAAAAAAAAAAUAUUUUUUUAUUUUUCUUUUUUUUUUCAGUGGUGGAAACAGGCUUCCAUAGGUCACUGAUUGACAUUUUAUGACACCACCUGUUAUUUAUUUAUUUACAGACAUCAGUUCAUGCCGUUAUGAAAUCAGCACUCAGCUGGGAAGGCUUUUGAACUGUUUAUGCAGCAACUCGUUUGGACAAUGGCCUUCAGGCAGCAGUAAAACUCGCCUCCAGCAGGAACAUGAAUUCAUCAGCAUUGCACAGAAGAGUACAGCCCUCCCGAGUAUCUGUUCACUGGCAAGUACCACGGGGAACCGGCCACGGUGUGGUCACACGGGAUACUCUUGCUUGUAAUACUCUUCUGGAAAUUUCAGAGGAGACGAGACCUUUGCAAAGAUCAAUGAUAAAAUCUGGACCAAAGAUGGCUUGUCACAAUGUGAGGUCUUCAUUUCAACUUCAUUUAUUUAUUCUAAAUCUUACUAGAACAAAUAUAUGAGGCAGAAAAAGCAACUUCUGAGUCUAGUGGCUUAGUUGAUGUACUUUUGAUAAAUUUACUGUCAAUCAGAAGAUUUUAGUGUGAAGUUUAAGGUAAUAAUCAGACUAAAAUCUCUCUAAAAUCUAGCGCUGUCACAUUGUGAAACUGAAUGAUUUGUAAAUUAUGCUUGGCGGGCCAUAUUAUACGCUUCAAUAGCUGUGGGCCAUUUGAAAUUCAUCCACGGGCUGGACUUUGGACACCCCUGCCUUAUCAUAUCUGAUAUUUUGAGAGACUUAGUGACUUUGUGAAUGUUUGAGUGUUUUUGCUCUAUAUUUCACCAAUAAAAAUGUCCAAAUAAAAAAGGGCA